rnacentral:rRNA from 1 species
UGGGGAAUCUUGCGCAAUGGGCGAAAGCCUGACGCAGCAACGCCGCGUGGGGGAUGAAUGCCUUCGGGUUGUAAACCCCUUUCAGCAGGAACGAAAUUGACGGUACCUGCAGAAGAAGCCCCGGCCAACUACGUGCCAGCAGCCGCGGUAAUACGUAGGGGGCGAGCGUUGUCCGGAUUUAUUGGGCGUAAAGAGCUCGUAGGCGGCUUGGCAAGUCGGGUGUGAAAACUUCAGGCUCAACCUGGAGAUUGCACUCGAUACUGCUAUGGCUAGAGUCCGGUAGGGGACCACGGAAUUCCUGGUGUAGCGGUGAAAUGCGCAGAUAUCAGGAGGAACACCGGUGGCGAAGGCGGUGGUCUGGGCCGGCACUGACGCUGAGGAGCGAAAGCGUGGGGAGCAAACAGG